rnacentral:rRNA from 1 species
GGUGAACGCUGGCGGUGCGCCUAAUACAUGCAAGUCGAACGAGAAACCGGAUUUAUUCGGUGGAAAGUGGCGGACGAGCGAGUAACACGUAAGAACCUGCCCUCUACUCAGGGAUAACUGGCCGAAAGGUCAGCUAAUACCGGAUGGUCCCGAAAGGGUAAAGAUUUAUCGGUAGAGGAGGGGCUUGCGGCCUAUCAGCUUGUUGGUAAGGUAAAAGCUUACCAAGGCUAUGACGGGUAGCUGGUGUGAGAGCAUGACCAGCCGCGAUGGAACUGAGACACGGUCCAUACUCCUACGGGAGGCAGCAGUAAGGAAUCUUCCGCAAUGGGCGAAAGCCUGACGGAGCGACACCGCGUGGUGGAUGACGGCCUAUGGGUUGUAAACACCUUUUCUAUGGGAAGAAGAUCUGACGGUACCAUAGGAAUAAGCCCCGGCUAAUUACG